CGGAUUAGAUACCCUGGUAGUCCACGCCGUAAACGAUGGAUGCUAGCCGUUGGCAGGCUUGCCUGUCAGUGGCGCAGCUAACGCAUUAAGCAUCCCGCCUGGGGAGUACGGUCGCAAGAUUAAAACUCAAAGGAAUUGACGGGGGCCCGCACAAGCGGUGGAGCAUGUGGUUCAAUUCGAAGCAACGCGAAGAACCUUACCAACCUUUGACAUGUCCCGUAUGAGCACCAGAGAUGGAGCUCUUCAGUUCGGCUGGCGGGAACACAGGUGCUGCAUGGCUGUCGUCAGCUCGUGUCGUGAGAUGUUGGGUUAAGUCCCGCAACGAGCGCAACCCUCGCCCUUAGUUGCCAUCAUUCAGUUGGGCACUCUAAGGGGACUGCCGGUGAUAAGCCGCGAGGAAGGUGGGGAUGACGUCAAGUCCUCAUGGCCCUUACAGGUUGGGCUACACACGUGCUACAAUGGCGGUGACAAUGGGAUGCAAUGGCGCAAGCCUGCGCAAAUCUCAAAAAACCGUCUCAGUUCGGAUUGGGCUCUGCAACUCGAGCCCAUGAAGUUGGAAUCGCUAGCAAUCGCAGAUCAGCACGCUGCGGUGAAUACGUUCCCGGGCCUUGUACACACCGCCCGUCACACCAUGGGAGUUGGUUUUACCUGAAGACGGUGCGCUAACCGCAAGGAGGCAGCCGGCCACGGUAGGGUCAGCGACUGGGGUGAAGUCGUAACAAG
rnacentral:rRNA from 1 species